rnacentral:misc_RNA from 1 species
GAUGAAGAACGCAGCGAAAUGCGAUAAGUAGUGUGAAUUGCAGAAUUCAGUGAAUCAUCGAAUCUUUGAACGCACAUUGCGCCCCUCGGUAUUCCGUGGGGCAUGCCUGUUCGAGCGUCAUUUACCCCUCAAGCACUGCUUGGUGUUGGGCGUCUGUCCCGCUUCGCGCGCGGACUCGCCCCAAAGGUAUUGGCAGCGGUCGUGCCAGCUUCUCGCGCAGCACAUUGCGCUUCUCGAGGCGGUCGAUCGGCGUCCACGAAGCUCACCUCCACCGUUUGACCUCGGAUCAGGUAGGGAUACCCGCUGAACUUAAGCAUAUCAAUAAGCGGAAGA